AUGGUCCAGAUGGCCAAGGUGCAGGACCGCGCCUGGAGGAUCUCCAACGCCGAGCCUGUUAGAAGGUUGGACAGGUCCGUGGGUCUCCUCCUCGCGCUCGAGUCAGCUGUACUCCCCGCCCUGCACACCUUCCCCGACAUGUCCUCUCUGGUCGACGCCCUUCGCCUCUACAUCAACAACCUCUCCGACCACGCGGGGGCCACGGGGGGACAGUUCUCCAUCAGGGCGGAGGACCUCUGCAACCGCCUGAGCGAGUACGUCCGCCGCGCUGACGCGAAGGAGGAGGUGGCGGAGCUGAGGACCGGCGUCGCCCCACUCAUGCAGGCCGUCACCGACCUCCUCAACACCGAGGUCACGAUCUCCCAGGCACGCAAUGUUCAGUGA
rnacentral:rRNA from 1 species